ACUCCUAGCCAGCGCCAGUCCCCGCCCCGUUACUUUGCGAAGUGGAUGUGAGCAGGGUUCUGUGUUUUCUCGAACACUUAUUUGUGAUCUUGGUGAAACAGGACCGUCAAUGCCCUACCAGAACCUUGUCGCCAAACUCCCAGCAGAACAUCCUCUCGGGUGGAAAGUCUCCCUCCGCUCGAGCGUCCUUUUCCUCCUGUCGCUGCCUCGGCGCUUCAGGGAUCAUAUUCAGAGGAAUACAUAUAAGUUUCUCCUUAGUUCUUUGGAAGGAGACGCGUGCAUCUCCGCCACGCAGAGCCCCACAGCAACCCCGCUACCUGCUGGAGGAUAUGACAUGUUUUAUUCAUUUGUCUAAUGGCCUUGGGGAGAGAAUGACUCCUAUGACCCCGGAUUUGUUUGUAAAAUCAAAAAUUCGGUCAAAACUAUUAUUGUAUUCUUACCAUGAAGACAGAAAGGUGAGGAACAGGAUGUGUUAAGAGAGCUGUAAUUGGCCUGUCUGUUCCGCUCCCUUGGUCUUUGUAGGUGUGGCAGGCUAUACACUGACUCAGUACGCAAGACAAUUACAGUGCCCUCGUUAAUUAAUUUAUGUUCUCUUAGUGGUGGUGCUGAUGGUGGUGGUGCUGCACAGUCACCAGUCUGACACGGAGAAUGGGAUGGAGGGACACUGGCUGACCUAGCACGCAGCUGUCCGCCCCCAAGUUGCCCAGUGUGAUAUAUAUACUGUUGAUACUGGAAAGGAAUCCUGGACCCUGUUGUCAUCAUAAUGUUCACUAUUAAGGCUGUUUCUCAACAUUCAAGUUUGUAAUAUUGGAAACCCACGCGGCAACAGAUGACCACCUUGAAGACAAGUCUUGCAAAACGGAUGGGUGAUUCCCGCCGCAAUAAAGGCUGAGUAAUGUGGAUGCUCGCUACCACCAGAUGUUUUACUGUUCCAAAUGUCGUAUCACUGUCGCUGAUAGCAAUGCCAGCCAGGAGUCAGCGUUUGGGAGUGUGGGAGUCAUGCGCUCAUCAUGUCUGGGACGUCGAUAUUUACCUUGUCACCAAGAAGCAAACGAGCCCCGUGCUGUCAAGAUAUGCUACCCUCGAGGGCUGCUGCUCUGAAAUGAGUCACCAUGAAGAAACACUGACCAUCAAGAGAAGCAUCUGUAAACAAGUACUUACGACAGCCUGGCUAAGAUACACCACUACUGGUGCAUACGAGCAUAUCAUAAUAGUAAUAGUUUUCAUCCACCAUUCAAGCUUCGUCUGUCGUCUACGUAUGAAAGAGCUUAAUAUUUUUUUUUUUUUUUCCUUUUAAUGCAGUAGGAAUUUCAGACUGAGGUCACAGUGCGGCGGUUAUUUUUAGCAUCGUCUGUCCCACCGCUAUAUUUCAAGCGUCACCCUGAUAUGGAAGGUGCAGAGUUCGUGAUAUUCCCUAUCUCGGCAGAUUUUAUAGAAAACAUUUUUUUACACAAUACCAGCCUGGCAACGGUGGAAGGUUCAUACCCCAAAGAAUCUAAUAUCGUAUGAGCAAUAAAAAAAUUCUUAUAAUUGAAACAAGUUCUCUCCCCAGAGGUUGUUAUCGGUAAAAAUUUGUUUUGCUCUAGUGCUGCAUUCUUGUAAUUCGUUAGUCUCGCCCUUCACCCCGGGCAGUCCUCGCGCCGGCCCUCGCCCUCACCCGGCCAGGGGAGCAGGGGCGAGGAAGGCAGCAGCAGCAGCAGCAGCAGCAACAGAAGCAGAAGCAGAAGUAUGGUGUACGAGAGCGUCGGAUUCACCGCUUGUUCUCAUCGUGAGGCUAAAUUUUACACCAGCACCGUUAUAUCUUUUACAUCGCAUCGUGUGUUGGAUUAAAUGUGUCGAAAAAUAUUUAUAGAUUGUCCUAAUACAUCUAUAACGUGCACAUGCAAGAGAGAACACUACAUAGGUCUCAGUGUUCAUGAUUUUAUAUAACUUUUUUUUUCCAAACUCCAGCCAUUUUACUUCAAUAUCUUGUUUGUAUAACAUAGUGUAACUAUUGUAUAAAAACGAUUACCUAUGAGUGCACUGUAAUAAAGAAAGAAUGCUAUAAUUUUUUUCAAAGAAGA